AUUGAACGCUGGCGGCAGGCCUAACACAUGCAAGUCGAGCGGAUGAAGGGAGCUUGCUCCUGGAUUCAGCGGCGGACGGGUGAGAAUGCCUAGGAAUCUGCCUGGUAGUGGGGGAUAACGUCCGGAAACGGGCGCUAAUACCGCAUACGUCCUGAGGGAGAAAGUGGGGGAUCUUCGGACCUCACGCUAUCAGAUGAGCCUAGGUCGGAUUAGCUAGUUGGUGGGGUAAAGGCCUACCAAGGCGACGAUCCGUAACUGGUCUGAGAGGAUGAUCAGUCACACUGGAACUGAGACACGGUCCAGACUCCUACGGGAGGCAGCAGUGGGGAAUAUUGGACAAUGGGCGAAAGCCUGAUCCAGCCAUGCCGCGUGUGUGAAGAAGGUCUUCGGAUUGUAAAGCACUUUAAGCUGGGAGGAAGGGCAGUAAGUUAAUACCUUGCUGUUUUGACGUUACCAACAGAAUAAGCACCGGCUAACUUCGUG
rnacentral:rRNA from 1 species